ensembl:misc_RNA Metazoa_SRP Metazoan signal recognition particle RNA
GCCGGGCGUGGUGGCGCGUGCCUGUAAUCCCAGCUACUCAGGAGGCUGAGGCAGAAGAAUUGCUUGAACCCAGGAGGCAGAGGUUGCAGUGAGCCAAGACUGUGCCACUGCACUCCAACCUGAGCAACAGAGCAAGACUCUGUCUCAA